rnacentral:rRNA from 1 species
CCUACGGGGGGCUGCAGUGGGGAAUAUUGGACAAUGGGGGCAACCCUGAUCCAGCCAUGCCGCGUGUGUGAAGAAGGCCCUCGGGUUGUAAAGCACUUUCAGUGAGGAAGAACGCCUGGUGGUUAAUACCCAUCAGGAAAGACAUCACUCACAGAAGAAGCACCGGCUAACUCCGUGCCAGCAGCCGCGGUAAUACGGAGGGUGCGAGCGUUAAUCGGAAUUACUGGGCGUAAAGCGCGCGUAGGUGGCUUGAUAAGCCGGUUGUGAAAGCCCCGGGCUCAACCUGGGAACGGCAUCCGGAACUGUCAAGCUAGAGUGCAGGAGAGGAAGGUAGAAUUCCCGGUGUAGCGGUGAAAUGCGUAGAGAUCGGGAGGAAUACCAGUGGCGAAGGCGGCCUUCUGGACUGACACCGACACUGAGGUGCGAAAGCGUGGGUAGCAAACAGGAUUAGAUACCCCUGUAGUC